CCAAUAGCGUAUAUUAAAGUUGUUGCAGUUAAAAAGCUCGUAGUUGAAUUUCGGGAUUAGUACGUUGGUCGUGCCUUGGUACGUACUGGUGUAACUGAUUCCUCCCUUCUGACGAACCGUUAUGCCAUUAAUUUGGUGUGGCGGGAAAUCAGGACUGUUACUUUGAAAAAAUUAGAGUGUUUAAAGCAGGCUCGCGCUUGAAUACAUUAGCAUGGAAUAAUGAAAUAGGACGUUAAUCCUAUUUUGUUGGUUUCUAGGAUCGACGUAAUGAUUAAUAGGGAUAGUUGGGGGCAUUAGUAUUCAAUUGUCAGAGGUGAAAUUCUUGGAUUUAUUGAAGACUAACUACUGCGAAAGCAUUUGCCAAGGAUGUUUUCAUUAAUCAAGAACGAAAGUUAGGGGAUCGAAGACGAUCAGAUACCGUCGUAGUCUUAACCAUAAACUAUGCCGACUAGGGAUCGGAUGAUGUUAAUUUUUUAAUGACUCAUUCGGCGCCUUACA
rnacentral:misc_RNA from 1 species